rnacentral:rRNA from 2 species
AGAGUUUGAUCCUGGCUCAGAACGAACGCUGGCGGCAGGCUUAACACAUGCAAGUUGAACGUGAUUUGCUGGGUGCUUGCACCGAGCAAUGAAAGUAGCGCACUGGUGAGUAACACGUGGGAACGUACCUUUUGGUGGGGAACAACAGUUGGAAACGACUGCUAAUACCGCAUAAGCCCUGAGGGGGAAAGAUUUAUCGCCGAAAGAACGGCCCGCGGAAGAUUAGGUAGUUGGUGGGGUAACGGCCUACCAAGCCGACGAUCUAUAGCUGGUCUGAGAGGACGAUCAGCCACAUUGGAACUGAGACACGGUCCAAACUCCUACGGGAGGCAGCAGUGAGGAAUAUUGGGCAAUGGAGGCAACUCUGACCCAGCCAUGCCGCGUGAGUGAAGAAGGUUUUCGGAUUGUAAAGCUCUUUCGGGUGUGACGAUGAUGACGGUAGCACCUAAAGAAGCCCCGGCUAACUUCGUGCCAGCAGCCGCGGUAAUACGAAGGGGGCAAGCGUUGUUCGGAAUUACUGGGCGUAAAGGGAGUGUAGGCGGUUAUGUAAGAUAGUGGUGAAAUCCCAGAGCUUAACUUUGGAAUUGCCAUUAUGACUAUGUGGCUAGAAUUACAGAGAGGAUAGUGGAAUACCCAGUGUAGAGGUGAAAUUCGUAGAUAUUGGGUAGAACACCAGUGGCGAAGGCGACUAUCUGGCUGUAUAUUGACGCUGAGGCUCGAAAGCAUGGGGAUCAAACAGGAUUAGAUACCCUGGUAGUCCAUGCUGUAAACGAUGAGUGCUUGUUGUCGGUGUAAAAUCGGUGACGAAGUUAACGCGUUAAGCACUCCGCCUGGGGAGUACGGUCGCAAGAUUAAAACUCAAAGGAAUUGACGGGGACCCGCACAAGCGGUGGAGCAUGUGGUUUAAUU